AGCGAACGCUGGCGGCAGGCCUAACACAUGCGAGUCGAACGCUCCUUUCGGGGUUAGUCUCGGCUGGGUGGGUAACCCGACGGAACAUGACCGUAGGUUUGGCCUACCUUAGGGCAACUUGUGCUAAUACCGAAUGUUCCCUUCGGCGGCAUGAUUUUUCACCUUUAGAGUCGUUUACGUCUGAUUAGCUAGUUGGUUGAGGUAAUGGCUCACCAAGGCGACGAUCAGUAGCUGGUCUGUGAGGAUGAUCCGCCACAUUGGGACUGAGACACGUUCCGAACUCCUACGGGAGGCAGCAGUGGGGAAUCUUGCGCGAUGGGCGAGAGCCUGACGCAGCCAGGCCGCGUGGAUGAUGAAUGUCUUAAGAUUGUAAGAGUCUUUCACCGGUGACGAUAAUGACGGUACCCGGAGAAGAAGCGACGGCUAACUUCGUG
rnacentral:rRNA from 1 species